GUUAAUGUAGCUUAUAACAAAGCAAAGCACUGAAAAUGCUUAGAUGGAUUGUUCAAAGAUCCCAUAAACA
rnacentral:tRNA from 1 species